GGGCAUGUGCCCUGACCGGGAUCGAACCGUGACCUCCUGGUUCAUGGGUUGACGCUCAGCCACUGAGCUGCACCACCACUGAGCCACGCUGGCUGGGCCUCGUUCAUUUUCAAAGGUUCCCAAAUGCUAGGAGGACAUCAAACAAUUCUGCCCGCCCCAAAGCUAGAAGCCACAGCUUCUCAGUUCAGAGCCAGUUCCUUAGCCACAUGUGUGUGAAAUACCAGAUUCAUUGUUUUCCCUCUGUUUUCAUGAAGCUUCCCAUUUUUAACAGCAGAGCUCUGUUUUCAAAGUCUUGUGGGGUUUUUUGUCUCCCUGUCAUGAAGAGUGAUGUGCAACUAGCCUUGCUGGAGAGUGAGAUGAGUGAGUGAAUAACUGACUGUUGAUAGGGAAUCUUUGCAGGUGAAGGAAGAAACGAGGCCCUGGAUCAUGGAAGCAGAUAAGCCUGUAGGGCCCUCAGGGAGGUGGUUUUCCACACAGGCUGUUGACUGGCGUGGAGUUCCCUCCCUAUGGAAAGAGGGUUUCUUUCGGAUGAUGAUGAAGGAACUGUGUUCAUGGAGGACUUUGGAGAGCCUGGACCUGAAGGUGCAGGGUGUGUGCAGAAUUGAGCCAACCUCCCUGUCCUAGCCCUGCUCAGGCCAAAGGGCCACUUGAGUAUCUUGAGCACUGAGACUGGCCCGCACCCUAUUGGAAGAGACCAGAAGAGCAGGGUUUUUAUGAGGACAGCAGAAGCAAUAUGGGGAGACCCUGGGAACUCCCUGAAAUAGCAGGAGAGACACUACAUGGGGAGAGAGGGUGCAGACAUGCAGGUGGGAGCUAAGAGAGGUGGGUGCAGACAUGCUGGUGGGAGCUAAUUUGGUAACUCGGGUGUUAAUGACAAUAUAACUUCACUUGCACCUACAGUGGCUGAUGCCUCUGCCUUGACUUGUGUUCCUGAUUUGAAUGAAUAUCUCAUUUAAGCUUUUGCGUUUUGGUUUCUCAUUGACCAAAACCAGCAUCCAUUCAGUCUUCAAAGAGCAGUUUCCCGUACAGUCUUUCACUAAGAGAAUCUGAAAAUCAAGGAUUUAGCCUAUCUCUCUCUCUUUCUUUGGGUAGGACAGCACGUAAUAUUAAUUCAGGAAUUAAUUGGAAUAUUAUACUUUAAAAGAAACGUCCAGAAUUAUUUUUCCCGUGACACCCCAGGAGAAGUCAUACUUUGGAGUUCAUUCAACACUGGUUAGAAAUUUAUUGGCUCACAGAUAAAAUACAAGUGAUCUCCUGGGCCCCUGACUGAGGUUCUGCCCCUCCUCUUCGCUUCCAGCCGGCUCAAUGCAUGAGAACCAAGAUCUUGAGGUGUUCUCUGACUAGCCUUGCGCAGGCGUGGCCACUGUUCUUACCUAGCUGUAGAUGUGGCUGGUUGUCAUGGUGAUUCUAUUGGAGCAUCACUUUGCUUAUGAGCUAAAUAAAUCUUCAGUCACAUCUGUCCAGUUUGAGCCAGUUCCUUUGAAGUCUGGACACACGAGGGGGCACUUCAAAGAGUUUACUUUGUUGGAAACAAAAGGAAAAAUGGAGUUGAGAUCUACUGCCUACCCAGGCCGAGUGUUUCUUCAGCCAAAGUUACCAACUCUCAUGAGGGCUUCCUGGGGACUGAACAGCACAGUUUGUUUUCAGGGCUGAAAUCAGCUGGUUAUUACCUGGAAAGGAACGGUGGACAGGUCCACAUAGCCUGCCCUGCAUGGAGCUCCUGCUCUCUGGUUAGGAACGGGGAGCCCUAAAGAUUGGGUAGUUGGGGGGCACAGAGCUCAGGCAGAAGAGCCAAGGAGGGAACCUACCAGAGGUGUGGCGAACGCAGAAGCAGCUUGCCUGGUUUUCUGGCUUCGAGUUAGGCCUUUACCUGUAAUCGCCCGAAGGCAGAAGGCUUCAAGGCCAUGCCUCUCAUGACCCGGUCUAGGUUGAGGCUGGUGGGCCCAUCCUCUUCCACUCCUGACCCUUCUCAAGGUGACCUUUCUAUGCCCCCUCACCUGGGGGCCCCCUUUGACAGGAGGCGUGGCUUCUAGUCCCUCCAGGGGGAACAAAACGUUUCAAUCAAGGAGUAAGGCUGCCUCCCAAAGCUUGUGUGCUGGGCAGGCGGGUGGCCCCCCAGUCCUGGAAGCUGUGCUGUGGUUGUCUCAGGGCCUCCCUCCUCCCUGGUCCACACACACCUCCGCUGACGAGGGGGACAGUGCUGUCUCUGUCACAUCUCAUGGUGCCUUUGUCACUGGGAAGCAGAACCUCCCUGAGCCCCUGGCUGUCUGCAUUGGCUUCCAGGGGUCCAGGCAAUAAGAGGAGGUCACAUUUACCCAUUUGAAAGCUGCUUCUUGAUCCCUUUUAUUUUCCCUGCACUGCCCCCUCCCCCCACCAACCACUGCUUACUUCUUCUGUUUCUUUGACUCCUCCUCCUUUUGAACAAGUGAGUCAUUAGAGAAAUGAUCCCCACCCCUGUGAUCAGUACGCAGGUGAUGAGGAUGGACAUCCUGGAAGGAACCACAGACAGUUUUAUGUCCCUCGGAAGAGACCACCUUUCGACUCUCUGCUCAGGAUCCCCUUGUCUGAGAUCAGUCCCCUCGGCCCUGUUCCUGCCCCGGCCAGUUCCAGCAGCUCCUGCCAAGCGUAUGCCUUCCGAGUGGCCGCCACCCUCCAGACCCCACUUGAUUGCACCCAGGGUGGGUAGGUGUCUGCGCUGGGCUGAGUCCCUUCCUCAGAAACUAACCUGGGACCUUGGAGAAGAAGAAUCCAGUCCAAGACUAGCUAGGCCUCUGAAGGGGAGACAAGAACUCAGGAGCUAGACAUGGGUAUCUGUCUUCUCCCAGGGCAAAAUGAAGACUAGAGGGCAGGACGGGGGAGGCAAACACAAGAGCAGCCAAUGGGAGACCGAGAUGAAGUCCCGCUGACUGAGGGCGGCCACAUCCUGCCCUUGCAUUUAGCAGACACCGCUCUCUCCUCCUUUUAAAUGAAAACAGCGACAGGGCAUCCUGUGACCAAGAGCCCUAAACUAGAUCCUUUUGGAAGGAACCAUAUGGUCCCCUUGGAGAGACCUCGUUGAGGUGGAGAAACAAUAUGCAGCUGAAAGUGGCAGGUGUGAGUCAAUGGUCAUGUCUGCUCACCUGUAGUGAUCUGCCUUGUACACCAGUUUGGAAGUUCUGCAGCUUCUGUUCAUGUUCCCUGACGCAUCUGCAUCAGAAAGGAUUUGGUAUGUGCCAAGCAAGGCCCAUUCCCAGGCCCACCCUUUGCCUCUGCAUCUCUCUCUGGCAUCCCUUCAGUCUCCACAGCGUGAAUGAUGGCUGGGUCACGCAGAGGCACCACGCACAGUGCCAUGAAAGGUACCCUGCAAGAGUGAGGUCGAGGGAACAAGACACUGCACUCUGCUCGCUGAGCCACCCCUGUAGGGCACCCCCACAAGGACCCCUGGCAUGCCCCUUACCCUUCACAGACCAAAAGUCACUGGUGUGGGCUCCUCUGUAGUCAGUCACGACCAGCUCGGUGAAGUCCAUGUCAUCCCGGGCAAAGUCCCGCUGGAUGCCGCACCAGUACCAGCCCGCGUCCUCUUUGGUCAGGCAGGACACAGUGACAAUAAGCUGUUCCCCCGUGUCCCUCAGGGCCACGCGGCCCGUGCUGUUGGGUGUGAAGGCGAUGAUGUUGCAGUAGUCCCGGUAGUAGCCUCGGCACCAGUACUUGAGAUGGUCCUUGUAGUGGGCGGCGUAGCUGCAGACAGCAGACACUGUGUCCAGCACAAAGCUCUCCUUGACCUUUUUGUCCAUGACCAUGGCUUCUGUCAAAAAACACACACAGGGAGGCAGGAGAGGUAAGGGGGGACCAGCAGUGAUGGGGAGACUUGGCUCAGAGUGGUGGACACACACUACAUUGAUGAUGUAUUAUAGAGCUGUACCCCUGAAACCGACAUAAUUUUAUUAACUAAUGUCGCCGCAGUAAGUUCAAUAAAAAAUAAAAAACACUACACACACAUGUACGAAAAUACCAGUGUUCUUUUAACGGGUUGCAGCUCCUGCCCUCCUUGAGGAAAAUUAAUGAAAACAUUGGAGGCUGAUUUUUGCCUGAUUGGGAUUGGCAACUGUUAUGGGCUGAGUUGUGAUCCCUAAAACUCAUACAUUGAAGUGCUACCCCCGUCCCUCAGAAUGUGACUGUAUUUGGAGAUAGGACCUUUAAGUAGGCAAUUACAUUGAAAUGGGGUCGUUAGAAUGGGCCCUAGUCCAACAUGACUGUUGUCCUUAAAAAAAGGAGAUUAGGACAGGUGGCAGAGGGAAUGACCAUGUGAGGACACAGCGAGAAGGCAGCCCUCUGCAAAGCAAGGAGAGAGGCCUCAGGAGAAGCCAAGCCUGCCAACACCUUGACCUUGCGCUUCUAGCCUCCAUGAUUACAUGGGAAUAAAUCUCUUGCCAAAGCCGCCAGUCUGUGAUGCCUAUUACAGCAGGCCUAGCAAAUGCCUAGCAAAUGAACACAGCAGCCCUGGAGAAGCCUUCCUCCCUGGCCUCUGGGCGGGUAAAAUACAGACCCCCCGUCUGCAAGAACUGAGGAGGCCUCUCAACAUUGCUUGACGGGAGGCUUGAAGAGCCUGAGGCUUACUGUUCAUAGAUCCUCUGCCCCCAGCCACGCUCCCCCACAGGCCACCUCAGACCCUCAAAAAAAAUGAGAAGGUUUGGGGGCUUCUGUUGACUGUAUGGGGCUGUUCUUAGAGACCAAGAACUUCUUAUUUCCUCCCUACAAGACCUCAAUAUUGCAUAACGAGGAAGUCGUGCACACCACGUCCAGCUUGACCGUGGCUGGGGAAGUGUCCAACUAAGGAGAAGAAAUGGGGGCAGCAACCCGUCCGUGUCAGCCUCCAGGUGAGAAAAAUGAAUCUGACAAGUAACUUCUACAGGUCAGAAGUGGAGAAGCUCACAUUGAAAAGAGGGGAGCCCUGCUCAGCAGAGACCUGCCCAUCUCAGCUGCAUGAGAGAAGCCACGGACGGGGGUUUUGUCCCAGCACCAGUCACAAGAGCAGCGUGGUGGGGACAGGAGAGCUCGUGAGACGUUAACCCACGGGAUACAGGAGAGGCAGGGGACAUGCUUGGGGCCACCGACCAAGCCACCUCUUCACACCUGGGAUUCCGUCUCCAGAAUUCCCUGUGUCGACCUGGGACUUCCCUCCUGGGCAGGGACGCCUUCCUCUACGUCAGUGGUUCUCAACCUUCCUAUUGCCGCGACCCAUUAAACCAGUUCCCCAUGUUGUGGUGACCCCCAACCAUAACAUUAUUUUCGUUGCUACUUCAUCACUGUA